AGUGAACGCUGGCGGUAGGCCUAACACAUGCAAGUCGAACGGCAGCACAGUAAGAGCUUGCUCUUACGGGUGGCGAGUGGCGGACGGGUGAGGAAUACAUCGGAAUCUACUUUUUCGUGGGGGAUAACGUAGGGAAACUUACGCUAAUACCGCAUACGACCUACGGGUGAAAGCAGGGGAUCUUCGGACCUUGCGCGAUUGAAUGAGCCGAUGUCGGAUUAGCUAGUUGGCGGGGUAAAGGCCCACCAAGGCGACGAUCCGUAGCUGGUCUGAGAGGAUGAUCAGACACACUGGAACUGGGACACGGUCCAGACUCAUACGGGAGGCAGCAGUGGGGAAGAUUGGACAAGGGGCGCAAGCCUGAUCCAGCCAUACCGCGUGGGUGAAGAAGGCCUUCGGGUUGUAAAGCCCUUUUGUUGGGAAAGAAAAGCAGAAGGUUAAUACCCCGCUGUUCUGACGGUACCCAAAGAAUAAGCACCGGCUAACUUCGUG
rnacentral:rRNA from 1 species